UACGUAGGGUGCGAGCGUUGUCCGGAAUUAUUGGGCGUAAAGAGCUUGUAGGCGGUUUGUCGCGUCUGCUGUGAAAAUCCGGGGCUCAACCCCGGACUUGCAGUGGGUACGGGCAGACUAGAGUGUGGUAGGGGAGACUGGAAUUCCUGGUGUAGCGGUGAAAUGCGCAGAUAUCAGGAAGAACACCGAUGGCGAAGGCAGGUCUCUGGGCCACUACUGACGCUGAGAAGCGAAAGCAUGGGGAGCGAACAGG
rnacentral:rRNA from 1 species